rfam:Nematostella vectensis strain CH2 x CH6 NEMVEscaffold_12672_Cont57530, whole genome shotgun sequence.
AGAAGAUGUGUGCGAGUCUUUGAGUGAUCGAAACUCCGAGGCGUAAUGAAAGUGAAGGCGACUUCGGUCGCUGAGGUGAGAGCCUUUUUCCACAAAAAAAAGGCGCAUCAUCGACCGACCUAUUCUACUCUUAGAAAGGUUUGAGUAAGAGCGCAUCUGUUGGGACCCGAAAGAUGGUGAACUAUGCCUGAAUAGGGUG